rnacentral:rRNA from 1 species
UUGGAGGGCAAGUCUGGUGCCAGCAGCCGCGGUAAUUCCAGCUCCAAUAGCGUAUAUUAAAGUUGUUGCAGUUAAAAAGCUCGUAGUUGAAUUUCGGGGUUCUUCCGUUGGUCAGGCUAACAAGUCUGUACUAGCGUGUAGAAUCUCUACCUUCUGGGGAACCAUCAUGUUAUUAAUUUAGCGUGGUGGGAAACCAGGACCUUUACCUUGAAAAAAUUAGAGUGUUCAAAGCAGGCUUACGUCUGAAUACAUUAGCAUGGAAUAAUAAAAUAGGACGGUGGUCCUGUUUUGUUGGUUUCUGAAUCACCGUAAUGAUUAAUAGGGAUAGUUGGGGGCAUUAGUAUUCAAUUGUCAGAGGUGAAAUUCUUGGAUUUAUUGAAGACUAACUUCUGCGAAAGCAUUUGCCAAGGAUGUUUUCAUUAAUCAAGAACGAAAGUUAGGGGAUCGAAGACGAUCAGAUACCGUCGUAGUCUUAACCAUAAACUAUGCCGACUAGGGAUCGGACGAUGUUAAAUUUUAUUGACUCGUUCGGCGCCUUAGGAACAGUCGACU